UCGCUUCAGUCUGAAUCGCGGUGUCCUUUGGGCCCUGCUGCGCUCCUAUAAAGGACGCGAGAAAGCCCGUCGGCUCUUGACCCUCACCAUGGCAGUGAGGAGGCCUGGAGGAGAGGGGCAGAGGCAAGCUGCACGCAGACGGUCAGGUGAAAAAGGACACAAAUAGCUUGUAAAGAGAAGCAGGGAAGCAAGAAGUAGGGUAGUAGAGCGCUGAGAAGUAUUUACAUGUGCGUUUGUGUGAGAGGUGCUUUCCCGCUCAGUUUUACACGGAUCCUCACAGUGUGCUGCGUGAUGAAUUUCAUCAGAAAAAGCAAAGAAGUGUUGCCAGUUCCACCCCCCCCCCCAGGAGGAGAUGAAAGAGAUAAAGAUAAAAGCUGUGCUGGGUUACCACAGUAACCAGCUUCUGAAAUGCUCUGGUUCAUGCUCCAGUGUGACAAGAGCUGGGAUUGAAACACGAGUGGCUGAAACUGCCAUGGGGGUUGAUGGGGUGUGAGAGGGAGGGAGAUACAGGACUUCAAAACCUGUGCUAAACUAACAGAUGUCACUUCCAUUCAGAGCAGCUCAGUUCAUGUGUGUUUUUCAGGUUACACUGUUGACAUUUUGAGAGAAACAGCUUCCCCGCUGCUGCAGUACUAGGCUCAUGACCGUGUUGCCCAUAUCCUCAGCCACGCUGACCACUCAGACCAUCUUGCACUAGAGCACUGCUGUUUGCACUUGGGGGAUGCCAGAACUUCUCCCAUGGGUUUCUCCUCUCCAUCCUUUACUGGACCGGACUAAGCAGUUCUCAGCUGCCUGCUGGCUUCAAAUAGCAUCCCGCUGUGGGUAAAUCUCGAGCCCCAUGUCUUCCUGUCAUCUGUGCCUCAUUGGUUAACAGCAGAUCUCUCCAUUUCCAGCCCCACUGCCUGCUGCAGGGAUCUGGCUGCUGGGGCUGGAAAGCUAGGAUUUUGUACAGGGAAGUAAGAUGAAUGACUCCAUUAAAUAAACAUCACUGCUCUGUUUAUUCUUUCAAAAGAACAGAUUACAAAAAGGAGAAGAUGCAUUUUAAAUGCAUUAAAAAUUCUGAGCAAAAUAAUGCCUUUGAAUACAAUGCUCAUGUAACAUAAAUCACAUGGCUUUUUUCUAUCCAGGCACAUGGAAAGCAAAAACGUAUUAUUAUAUCAUUAUUUAUAUGGCACCAUAUGCUAAGUCUGGAACUUAAAGACUUUGAAAUAAAUAAGAAAACACCAGCUGCAGAUCAGCAAUACACUCCUUUAUUGGGAGUCACUAUGUAACUGUGGCUAUCAUUCCUGCUGUUAAGUUAAAACUUAAAUAAAUUGUCAGAGAAAUAAGAUAGCCAUUAGAGAUUCAGUGUCUGUCUCCUGGGGACACUUUUUCUAACAGCUGUAACAAAGAUCUGCUGCUGGUUUUGUCCUAUCUGUGUAGUAACUCAUUGUAUUUGUCCCUGCAGUAUCACACAGUUGUUCAGUAGAGAUGGUUGAGCUGUUCGCUAUAAAUAAUGUUGUUUAACAAUGCGGCCCCUUUUGGGUUAAUAAAUUACAAUCAAACCAC